UACGGAGGGUGCGAGCGUUAAUCGGAAUCACUGGGCGUAAAGCGCGCGUAGGCGGUUCGUUAAGUGGGAUGUGAAAUCCCCGGGCUUAACCUGGGAAUUGCAUUUCAAACUGGCCGACUAGAGUACGGUAGAGGGAGGUAGAAUUUCCUGUGUAGCGGUGAAAUGCGUAGAUAUAGGAAGGAAUACCAGUGGCGAAGGCGGCCUCCUGGAUCGAUACUGACGCUGAGGCGCGAAAGCGUGGGGAGCAAACAGG
rnacentral:rRNA from 1 species